rnacentral:tRNA from 1 species
AGACAACAAAAUGUUUAAUAAUUAAUUUUGUCACCUUAGGUCGAUCGGUAUCUCACAUCCUUUAAUGAAGGAUUUCAUUUCCUAAGUUUUUCUAGGUCACACCCAUUACUUUUCCUGGGCCAUUAGCUCAGGUGGUUAGAGCGCACCCCUGAUAAGGGUGAGGUCCCUGGUUCAAGUCCAGGAUGGCCCAUAUCUCUAUGUUGGGGGUAUAGCUCAGUUGGUAGAGCGCCUGCUUUGCAAGCAGGAUGUCAGCGGUUCGAGUCCGCUUACCUCCACUGAUUACCACCUCUUCCAUAUGAUUGGGAAAUGUUUUGAGUUGUGAUCAUGUUCUGAACGAAUCUAGCUUCCUAAUAGAAACUAUUAAGAUGCUGGACUCAUUGAAUUAAUUUCAUUGUUUUCAGAGAACCUUGACAACUGCAUAGAUUAUUUUUUAAAGACAAUAAGCAUCUUUAAUGAUGCAGAUUUAUUAUUUGUGCAAAUGCAUUAAUAACAAUUCUAUUAAGCUGAUGCUUCAAUUUUUGAAGUUAUU